rnacentral:lncRNA from 1 species
CUCUGACAGCAAGAUCUGCCCUACCAACACUUCUCUUUGAUGCAGAGAAAACCCGGAGCCCCCGGCCCCCCAGGGCACCCAGGGAAAGCAGGCAUACCGGGGCUGUGUGGGGAGCCGGGACAGCCGGGGGAGAAGGGCCAGCAGGGUUACAUGGGCAAGCCAGGGCUGCAGGGCUGGCCGGGUCGUGCAGGGCAACCUGGCUUGGAUGGGUCCCCCGGCUUGGGGGGCAAACCUGGGCUGUGUGGGCUGCCUGGCGAGCAGGGGCUGCAGGGCUUCCGCGGGGACCGGGGGCUGGCUGGUGAGAAGGGAGAAGAGGGCUUCUUGGGUGACCCUGGACCUGCUGGGGAGAAAGGCGAGAAGGGAAUGAAGGGGGUGAAAGGAGAGAGUGGCCUGCCUGGUCCUGCUGGAACUCACGUGAGUUGAUGCAGGAGCGUGGGGUGUCCUUCUGUUGGCACAUUGCUCCUUCUCCUCCUGCUACAUCCUCAUUCCCCUUUCCAUAAUCAAUGCCUUUGCUUUGGAGAGGUGAUGUCACAUCCCCUUGCACAUGUCCCAGCCUAUGGGAAAAGCCUUU